rnacentral:rRNA from 1 species
GAUAAACGCUGGCGGCGUGCCUAAAACAUGCAAGUCGAACGGACCCUUCGGGGUUAGUGGCGGACGGCUGAGUAACACGUGGGUGACCUGCCCUCGAGCGGGGGAUAACUGCCCGAAAGGGUGGCUAAUACCGCAAAUGUCUGAGAUUCGGUUUUCAGACUGAACCGUUUAGGGUUCGAGGAGGGGCCUGCGGCCGAUUAGCUAGCUGGUGGGGUAAUGGCCUACCAGGGCAUCGAUCGGUAGCUGGUCUGAGAGGAUGAUCAGCCAGACUGGGACUGCGAGACGGCCCAGACUCCUACGGGAGGCAGCAGUUAGGAAUUUUGGGCAAUGGGCGAAAGCCUGACCCAGCAACGCCGCGUGGGUGAUGAAGGCUCUCGGGUCGUAAAGCCCUUUUCCCAGGGAAGAUAAUGACGGUACCUGGGGAAUCAGCCCCGGCUAACUACGUGCCAGCCGCCGCCGUAAAAC